CGGUGAGAAAGUGUAUAGGAGAGCCACCUGUGUGUGUCAGGUCUGUCUGCUCAAUCCAUCACUGCAUGACACUAUGCUGUUUUCCUGCCAGCGAAUUGGAUGUGAGAGACUGUUGCGGUUCCUUGUUGGCCAUAGUGGAGGAAGAGGACACCAUCUACCUCCUCGUCAUCGUCAUCAUCCUGCCGCUGCUGGAGCAUCCCAGGCACCUUAGCACACACUCACUCCUUCAUACACCGCCCAUACAUACAGCACACGUAUAGAGCUCUACAGACUCUUUAUUGUUUGUGUGCUGGCCAGCAAAUCUUAAAUUGUGCUCAGGACAGUUUAAGGGACAUUCAUCAUUUUAUAUAGAUAGAUAGAUAUUUUCUUUGUGUGUUUUAUUUAAAUGCUUUGUCCAUUCAUGUUGGAAGUGUUAUGUUCACGGUGGAUCUGACUCCCAGUUUGUGAGGAAAGAGAAGAGAUGCAUUUCAGUCCAGCAAAUCAUUAAACCUGGAUUGAUAGUGAACUAC